rnacentral:rRNA from 1 species
UUAUACAAUGGAGAGUUUGAUCCUGGCUCAGGAUGAACGCUAGCUACAGGCUUAACACAUGCAAGUCGCGGGGUAACAUCUGGUAGAGCUUGCUCUUC